rnacentral:misc_RNA from 1 species
UCCGGUUUGGCACCGGCAGUCUUCCUAGAGUCCCCGCCAUUACGCGCUGGCAACUAAGAACAGGGGUUGCGCUCGUUGCGGGACUUAACCCAGCUCUCACCGGGCUUCCAGACAUGUCAAGGGUAGGUAAGGUUGUUCGCGUUGCAUCGAAUUAAUCCACAUCAUCCACCGCUUGUGCGGGUCCCCGUCAAUUCCUUUGAGUUUUAACCUUGCGGCCGUACUCCCCAGGCGGAUCACUUCACGCGUUAGCUACGGUACCAGGAGAUCGCUCCCCCAACACCUAGUGAUCAUCGUUUAGGGCGUGGACUAC